GCUGAACGUUGGUCUGAAUCCAUGAGAGGGCGUUGGAUGGACUUGAAGCAAUGUUUGGUAGGUCUGAGUUGGCGACUGUUAUGGUGAACUCAAUUCUUGUGUUGGCGAAGGCGGUGAGGACGGUUGAAUUUGCAUCAUAGAGCUUGACUUUGGAGAUCGUGAUGGAUUGUAGGAGGGUGGCGACCUGUGGAGGGGAGGGUAAGUUGUU
rnacentral:misc_RNA from 1 species